GACGAACCGAGCGAACGUUGUUCGGAAUCACUGGGCUUAAAAGGGCGCGUAGGCGGGCAUUCAAGUCUGUGGUGAAAUCCUCCCAGCUCAACUGGAGAACUGCCAUGGAUACUGGGUGUCUCGAGGGUGGUAGGGGUAUGCGGAACUAUCGGUGGAGCGGUGAAAUGCGUUGAUAUCGAUGAGGAACUCCGGUGGCGAAGGCGGACAUACUGGACCACAUCUGACGCUGAGGCGCGAAAGCCAGGGGAGACGAACGGGG
rnacentral:rRNA from 1 species